GCUUAUUUAGUUUAGUUUUUUUUGAAUAAUAUUUUGAAAAGAUAUAGG
rnacentral:tRNA from 1 species